UAAACGUACCGUUUUGAUUGCUAAUUUAACUUAGAGGAAAGUCCGGGCACCAGAGAGUGGCGUACCCUGUGCAAGCAGGGCAGUCGUGAGGCUAGGGAUAGUGGCACAGAAACUAUACCGCCCCAGUGCGGAGCACUGGAAGCUCGAAACUCGAAUUUACAAGCUCGAAAUAAAUUAGAAUUUCCAAAUCAGAAAUUCAAAACAUGUUUUUUAUUUCGACAUUCGGAUUUCGUAAUUCCACUGCUUCGCAGUGUGGUAAGGGUGAAAAGCGCGGGUGUAAGAGACCCGAACAGUUAACUGGAAGGUUAGCUGGUGCAAAACUCCUUCGUGGUGCAAGUCCGGUGGAUCCAAUUAACGCGAUAUGCAUUUUUAUGCUCCAUCAGCCGUUACUCGCGGCCGUUAGUUUGGAUCCGGACGCUUAGAUAGAUAAUCAACUCCUUUGGAGACAGAACCCGGCUUAUGAGUACGUUUACACC
rnacentral:RNase_P_RNA from 1 species